rfam:Trichobilharzia regenti genome assembly, scaffold: TRE_scaffold0002438
AGCCUCCCGUAUUCGUGCUGAGAUUUCGUCAGAGAUAAACCCAUUGGCACUGGCUGAUGGUACUUCCCAAAUAAGUGAAGCG